GAAUGCAUUUGCUAGGCACAAUUCU
rnacentral:piRNA from 1 species